rnacentral:lncRNA from 1 species
AGAAAUUAUAAAGAAAUUCUCAUUUUUAAAUUUUAUUGUAGUACAUAUUUCAAAUGUUAAAUGGUAAGUUAAAAAUAAUGCAUUUUGGUUACCAACUUAUUGAUGCAUGUUCUCUCAAUUUGAGAAAAAUAUUUUCCUAUGAUUCUAGUACUUGGCUCAACUUCUUUUUUCUACUCUGAAACAGUGUUUCAGGAGCUUUAGAAAGAUCAAUUUCACUGCAGGAAGCAGCCACAUUUCUUUUCUCUUUAUUACCCACACCACACAAAUUAAGACUUCAGAAAAGAUCCUAACUUAAACACCAGUGUUAUUUGGGUCACCUCAUUUAGUGCUGUGCAAAUGGCAAAGCAUUACACAUGCAUAAAUUAACAAUGCAAGAGAUGCAUUGUGUAGGAAGGAACAGUCCUUUGAUUUGAUUGGAUGAUAUAUAAGUCUAGGUCAACACUCGUUCCAUGGUAACUAGA